rnacentral:rRNA from 1 species
AUUGAACGCUGGCGGCAUGCUUUACACAUGCAAGUCGAACGGUAACAGGCCUUCGGGUGCUGACGAGUGGCGAACGGGUGAGUAAUGCAUCGGAACGUGCCCAAUCGUGGGGGAUAACGCAGCGAAAGUUGCGCUAAUACCGCAUAAGCCCUGAGGGGGAAAGCGGGGGACCGAAAGGCCUCGUGCGAAUGGAGCGGCCGAUGUCAGAUUAGCUAGUUGGUGGGGUAAAGGCUCACCAAGGCGACGAUCUGUAGCUGGUCUGAGAGGAUGGCCAGCCACACUGGAACUGAGACACGGCCCAGACUCCUACGGGAGGCAGCAGUAGGGAAUAUUGGACAAUGGGGGGAACCCGUGAUCCAGCCAUGCCGCGUGAGGGGAGAAGGUCCUCUGGAUUGUAAACCUCUUUUGGCAGGAAACAAACCUGCGCUAUACGCGCAGCUGAGGGUACCUGCAGAAUAAGCACCGGCUAACUCCGUGCCAGCAGCCGACGG